rnacentral:tRNA from 2 species
GGCGGGGUGGGUGAGUGGCUAAAACCAGCAGACUGUAAAUCUGCCGCCGACAGGCUUCGUUGGUUCGAAUCCAACCCCCGCCACCA